rnacentral:rRNA from 1 species
CGAAAGCCUGACGGAGCAAGACCGCGUGAGGGAGGAAGGCUCUUGGGUUGUAAACCUCUUUUCUCAGGGAAGAACACAAUGACGGUACCUGAGGAAUCAGCCUCGGCUAACUCCGUGCCAGCAGCCGCGGUAAUACGGAGGAUGCAAGCGUUAUCCGGAAUGAUUGGGCGUAAAGCGUCCGCAGGUGGCUAUGUAAGUCUGCUGUUAAAGAGCAAAGCUUAACUUUGUAAAAGCAGUGGAAACUACAUAGCUAGAGUGCGUUCGGGGCAGAGGGAAUUCCUGGUGUAGCGGUGAAAUGCGUAGAGAUCAGGAAGAACACCGGUGGCGAAGGCGCUCUGCUAGGCCGCAACUGACACUGAGGGACGAAAGCUAGGGGAGCG